rnacentral:rRNA from 1 species
UUGUACGGGUGCGGAACACGUGUGCACUGCUUUAUCUGGGGGAUAGCCUUUCGAAAGGAAGAUUAAUACCCCAUAAUAUGUUGAAUGGCCAUCAUUCGACAUUGAAAACUCCGGUGGAUAGAGAUGGGCACGCGCAAGAUUAGAUACGUUGGUGAGGUAACGGUCACAAGUCUACGAUCUUUAGGGGCCUGAGAGGGUGAUACCCCAANUGGUACUGAGAACACGGAACCAGACUCCUACGGGAGGCAGCAGUGAGGAAUACUUGGACAAUGGGUGAAAGCCUGGAUCCAGCAUACCGCGUGAGGGACGAACUGCCUUAUGGGUUGUAAAACUUCCUUUUGUACAUAGGGGCAUAAAAACUUAACCUUACGAUGAAGGGGUAGGCUGAAAGGGUUAAUUACUUACGAAAUUAAAGCACCCCGGUAAACUAACCGUGGCCAGUAGGCCGGAGGGUAAUAAAGGGACGGGGUGGCAAAGACGUUUAUCCCGGGGAUAUUAAUAGGGGUUACAACAGGGGUCCCGGAUAAGGGGCGGGAUUUAGGGAAAAAGUACAAGUGGGGUGGGAAAAAUUCUCUCAAGCAAGAUUUUUAAAUAGUGUGG